GCAGUUGCCUGGUAGUAAUAAUUGAAGAUCGCCCUUGUUAUUCAGCUUUAGGAAAUGGAGUAAUUCGUUCAAGCGGCGCCGGUAUGUUAUCAAAGAGGGCUUUUCUUUCGUUGUGCCAUAGCAUUCACUGUGAUUGGCAUGUGCACCUUGUCGUUUUGAGGUGUGACUCGUUCCCAACAGCCUCACAAAGUUGUUUUCAAUGAUAAAGCUGUUACAUGUGCACUUGCAAGGUUGCUGGUUUUCUUGCUGUAUGCAGCCAACAUGUUUUGCUACAAUAUUGCAAAUUUUACUUCAUUUUUUGGACUGUGUUCAUUUGUUCUUAUAUCAAUUCACAUCUUUUUACUGUGAAAAACAAUUUUGCAGAAAAGACAGUAAAAUUGUUUUGGGUAGCAAAAUUUGUUGGCAUCUUAAUGUUGAUUUCUGGGUUUCCAAGGAAUUACUUUGCUUUAUGUGUGUGAUACUAGAAAUUUAACACAGGUCAGUUAUUUCAUUGUAGCUGUAAAAAUAGUAAUAAAGCUAGUUUUCAUAACGGAAAAUUCUUUUUAAUUGUGGUCAGUGUUUAACAGCCUCUACACUGAUGACAUGUACAAAACCAUUUGUGAUAAAUUGACAUAAAAAUUUGUUUAGGUCUAGUUCUAUUAUGGACUUGUAUGAUGUUUUAAUCUUAAAGAAUGGCCUUAUUGGAGAUGUCUUUUGAUUCUAUUAUCACUUUGAAAAAAGUAUUGAAAUUAAAAAAAUUAUAAAUGAGGUAAUUUUAUUCAAAAUAAUGUGUCAUGAGUAGACAAAUUAAAUUUAGGGAGCACACUCAUGGCUUGUAUUACAUAAUAUAUUCAUAAUGUGAAUGACAUUGUACAGUUAUUUGGCCUUAACAGAUGAUGCAUUGGAAAAACUGAGGGGCAUCUCUUUUUGUGGCACACUUAAAGCUUAUCUUGGCUGCUGCCACCUGGACUCUGUAGGGCUUUUCUUGAUAAAAAGACCUCUUGUGGCAUGGUUACUAACUCUCCACUUUGAGUAGUAUUGUUCAGUGUGUGUUUUAAAUUUCCUGACUUACACCAAUCGCUUUUGCCCACAUCUUUCCACACACAGUUUUGGUGAAGGUUUAUGCCUCAUACACUCUUAUAGUUGGACAUUUUUGUUAAAGUCCAAGAAGGGUGUAUUAAUGUAGUACUUGUACUAAAGCCAUGUUUAAAGAUAAAAAAUAUUGAUGCUAAAUAGAUGGUUAAUGUUAAGAAGUGCCUUGGUAAUAUAGGUGUAUCCUUAUGUCACUGUUGCUUUCACUGUACCUCUUUUGCAGUGUUUUACUUUGUUAAUUUUGUUAAGUAUACUUUAGACCUUAAGCAUCAAGCAUCACAUCAAAUUUAUUGAAUGUAAAUUAUUCAUCCUUUAAAGCAUAUCAAGUUAGUUUUCUGAAUCAAAAGGAAAGUUCUCACAAGUGUAUAUAUUUCUCUCUUCGUGUUGUUUUGAUAAUAUUUAUUUAUUUAUUUAUUUAUUUUAAUUUAUUUGCUGAAAUAUUAAUCAGUUCACUGACUUCAUAUUUUUCAGGAGCUCCUCUACUGGGAACAUCCCUACGACUCCCCCCACACCUACGGUCACAGUGCCCAGCAGAAGAAGGGUAAGGACACUGUAUUCCUGUGAAGCCGAGAAUGACACAGAGUUAUCUUUUGAACCAAACCAGAUCAUAAAUAAUGUGCGUCAGUCAAAAGAGCCAGGGUGGCUAGAGGGCACUCUAAAUGGCAAGACAGGCCUGGUCCCAUCCAACUAUGUAGAAUUCUUAAACUGACAAAAGGCAGCUGUGAUGGAAGACUGUGUCAAUGCAUGAAUCACCUUCAGGACAGAAAAGUCAACACUCUGGUUUUAAAAAAGGAAAAAAGUUUGUCUCCUUUUGAAAAUUACUCUACGUUGAAGGAUGUUUUGAAGCUUAUUUAUAUAUUUUGUCAUGUAAAAAACAUAUACUUAAAGUACAAGGGGUGGAUUCCAUGACAUAAUUUCUUAUGAGGAAUGUUACCAUGGUUACACUAGUCAAGACAAACUCAGAAGAGCCAGCAUAAAGUAUCUUAGGUGGAGGAUUUUCACCUGUCAGUGUAAUGCCAUGUUAAAAACUUACAGUGAUUCAAAGUACAAUUGACUGCAAAAUUACAUGUUGAAUGUGGGGAUUUUUU